CACAAGCUUAUAUAAACGGAGACCUCGCACCUAUUUGUGGCCUCCUCGGGUGAAAUCAUCGAUCGGUGUGCCACCAAUUGCUCAUCGCAGUUCAUCGCCACCGCGGAAUCCGCCGUGCGCCAUGGCCGCCUAACCCUUUGCCAUAGGAGCCCAUGGUAAGCAUUCCAACCAGUUCGGCUCAUCAGUAUACGCAAAUUUGACCCCUCUACACUCAGGUUGUCCCAUCGGGCGCCGGAUCGACCGACUCCGGCUGGCUGUCGUCGUGUGAUGCGAACGCGCCGCCACGGCUGGGAGCGAUGUGGGGAAGAAGCAUCGUCGACCGUUGAUCUCGGAGCGGACGCUCUAGAUUAGAAGAGAGGGGAGUCCCUUUGAUGAAGGGAUCUGAGCCAUGUAUGUGGGAUCGGGCGGUUUAGGUUAGGUCACACAUACCCCCUUCGCUCGGUUGAUAGCAACCGUAUGAUUUUAAUCUGAGGGCCAGCGGCGAAUCGUGUGGGUUUAAAAUCGACGUCGUCGGAUCGAGAUCCGGGGGUCCUGGUCGCGUACCGGUUCGCUUUAAAUAAAAUCGAAUCCUGGCACUUGUUUUCUAAUCGGACGGCUCUAGUGACCCGAUACCCCUUCGGUCGCGUCUUUUUGCUAAAGAGUCCUCGGUUUCUUAAACAAUCAACCCGCCAUCCUACUGAAUGCAAAAGUAAUUACAUAUCAGUCCAUUUUCUUUUAGGUAGCACCUAGACUUUCCUGAAAAUAUUAGUCGCCGUCCAUUGGUGUCAUUUAAUUGUAAAAUUAAAUCAGGAAACUG
rnacentral:lncRNA from 1 species